rnacentral:rRNA from 1 species
CCUACGGGUGGCAGCAGUGAGGAAUAUUGGUCAAUGGGCGGAAGCCUGAACCAGCCAAGUAGCGUGAAGGAUGACGGCCCUAUGGGUCGUAAACCUCUUUUGUACGGGGAUAACAUGCUCCACGUGUGGCUUUCUGUAUGUACCUUAUGAAUAAGGAUCGGCUAACUCCGUGCCAGCAGCCGCGGUAAUACGGAGGGUCCGAGCGUUAUCCGGAUUUAUUGGGUUUAAAGGGAGCGUAGGCGGGCUUUUAAGUCAGGGGGGAAAGUUUGCGGCUCAACCGUAGAAUUGCGGUUGAACAUGGGAGGCUUGAGUACGGUAGAGGCAGGCGGAAUUCGUGGUGUAGCGGUGAAAUGCUUAGAUAUCACGCAGAACCCCGAUUGCGAAGGCAGCUUGCCG